rnacentral:rRNA from 1 species
GAUAAGACGGAUUAGCGGCGGACGGGUGAGUAACACGUGAGUAACCUGCCUUUACACAGGGAUAGCCUCGGGAAACCGGGAUUAAAACCUGAUGAAACUAUCAAAUCACAUGAUUAAGAAAGUUAAAACUCCGGUGGUAAAAGAUGGACUCGCGUCCCAUUAGCUAGUUGGUGAAGGUAACGGCCCACCAAGGCAACGAUGGGUAGCCGGCCUGAGAGGGUGAACGGCCACAUUGGAACUGAGAAACGGUCCAAACUCCUACGGGAGGCAGCAGUG